ensembl:miRNA MIR1296 microRNA 1296
ACCUACCUAACUGGGUUAGGGCCCUGGCUCCAUCUCCUUUAGGACAACCUUCUGUGGGGAGUGGGGCUUCGACCCUAACCCAGGUGGGCUGU